rnacentral:rRNA from 1 species
CAGUAGCCACGGUAAUACGAAGGGUGCAAGCGUUAAUCGGAAUUACUGGGCGUAAAGCGUGCGUAGGCGGUGAGUUAAGUCUGUUGUGAAAUCCCCGGGCUCAACCUGGGAAUGGCAAUGGAUACUGGCAAGCUAGAGUGUGUCAGAGGAUGGUGGAAUUCCCGGUGUAGCGGUGAAAUGCGUAGAGAUCGGGAGGAACAUCAGUGGCGAAGGCGGCCAUCUGGGACAACACUGACGCUGAGGCACGAAAGCGUGGGGAGCAAACAGGAUUAGAUACCCCAGUAGUCCCUGUCUCUUAUAC